CCAAAGCAGCAUAACACAGGAGAAGCAACUCAGAUAAUAUUGUUUUCAUUUUUCUCUGAGGCUUCUCAGCUUCUCAGGAGAAGAAUCCUGGGCAACGAGAUUUUUCAGAAAACAUGAUAGUGACACAAGAGAGCUAAGUAGUAAAGCAGUUACCAGGAAGCACAGCACAGUACACCUUUUGAAUCAAAUCAGGGCAAACCCCACUAUUUCACUCAGUGCCUUCCACAGGAUUACUUGAAGAAGUAAGCUUUAGAUGGACAGUUCUUGCCAAUAUAGGCACAACCAUUCUUGUUCUGCAGUCAGUCAGCAGACUUCACACGCAGAGAUAUGUACAGCUUCCCCUUGGGUCAGCAGCCAUGACUCGCAGUGCAGCGAGAAAGCAUUCAGUGGGUACACCUGCAUUGCUUCUCCACCAGUUAAAUCAGAGAAACAGUUAAUAAAAUUCUAUGUGUGAACUAGUGUUCUACACAUUUAAGUUCUGCAGUGGAGGAUUUCAUAUGGAUAGAUAUAUUCUUCUGUCUUUGGCAAACAGCAGAGA